rnacentral:rRNA from 1 species
AGGACGAACGCUGGCGGCGUGCUUAACACAUGCAAGUCGAACGGAACUCUUUGGAUCAAGAACUUCGGUCAAGUGAAUUUGAGUUUAGUGGCGGACGGGUGAGUAACGCGUGAGGAACCUGCCUUUCAGAGGGGGACAACAGUUGGAAACGACUGCUAAUACCGCAUAACGCAUAGAGAUCGCAUGGUCUAUAUGCCAAAGAUUUAUCGCUGAAAGAUGGCCUCGCGUCUGAUUAGCUAGUUGGUGAGGUAACGGCCCACCAAGGCGACGAUCAGUAGCCGGACUGAGAGGUUGACCGGCCACAUUGGGACUGAGAUACGGCCCAGACUCCUACGGGAGGCAGCAGUGGGGAAUAUUGGGCAAUGGGCGCAAGCCUGACCCAGCAACGCCGCGUGAAGGAAGAAGGCUUUCGGGUUGUAAACUUCUUUUGUCAGGGAAGAGUAGAAGACUGUACCUGGCGAAUAAGCCACGGCUAACUACGUG